rnacentral:lncRNA from 1 species
GGAUCAUAGUAGUCUGCGAUGUCUGGCUCGCUCGUUGGAGAGGGGUCUCGCCUGCGUGUAGGAGCCUGCUUUGGUGAUAAGUACUGUUCAGAUGGUGGUGCACUGAAUGUCGGGCGAAAAGCGGGUGCAUCUGAUCUCAUUGUACUAGUCGUAGGUGCGUCUAAUCUCAUGGUGUUCUGUGCUACAACAUCUGAAUCGUGGGAGAUUGACCUGCUUGCUGUAGGGACAUCGUCCUCUGCAU